GUACAAGCAGGCAAUGACCUUGUAGAAAGUAUAAACAAACUGCACAGUUCAUAGGGGUAAUCCAGGACCCCGUCACAACAGCUCCAGACGGAGGUGUCUGAAUAUUCCAGAGGACAGCGGACUGCUUCCGCGUCCUACGGCUCUGCAACA